GAGUUUGAUCCUGGCUCAGAUUGAACGCUGGCGGCAUGCUUUACACAUGCAAGUCGAACGGUAACAGGGAGCUUGCUCCGCUGACGAGUGGCGAACGGGUGAGUAAUGCAUCGGAACGUACCCAGUCGUGGGGGAUAACGUAGCGAAAGUUACGCUAAUACCGCAUACGUCCUGAGGGAGAAAGCGGGGGACCGUAAGGCCUCGCGCGAUUGGAGCGGCCGAUGUCGGAUUAGCUAGUUGGUAGGGUAAAGGCCUACCAAGGCGCCGAUCCGUAGCGGGUCUGAGAGGAUGAUCCGCCACACUGGGACUGAGACACGGCCCAGACUCCUACGGGAGGCAGCAGUGGGGAAUUUUGGACAAUGGGCGAAAGCCUGAUCCAGCCAUGCCGCGUGAGUGAAGAAGGCCUUCGGGUUGUAAAGCUCUUUCAGCCGGAAAGAAAUCGCGCAGGAUAAUACUCUGCGUGGAUGACGGUACCGGAAGAAGAAGCACCGGCUAACUACGUGCCAGCAGCCGCGGUAAUGCC
rnacentral:rRNA from 1 species